rnacentral:rRNA from 1 species
CAGUCGCCACGGGAAUACGGAGGGUGCAAGCGUUAAUCGGAAUUACUGGGCGUAAAGCGUGCGUAGGCGGUUCGUUAAGUCUGUUGUGAAAGCCCCGGGCUCAACCUGGGAAUGGCAAUGGAUACUGGCGAGCUAGAGUGUGUCAGAGGAUGGUGGAAUUCCCGGUGUAGCGGUGAAAUGCGUAGAGAUCGGGAGGAACAUCAGUGGCGAAAGCGGCUCACUGGACAAUAACUGACGCUAAUGCACGAAAGCUAGGGGAGCAAACAGGAUUAGAUACCCCCGUAGUCCCUGUCUCUUAUAC